rnacentral:rRNA from 1 species
AACGAACGCUGGCGGCAGGCUUAACACAUGCAAGUCGAGCGCCCCGCAAGGGGAGCGGCAGACGGGUGAGUAACGCGUGGGAAUCUACCCAGCUCUACGGAACAACUCCGGGAAACUGGAGCUAAUACCGUAUACGUCCUUCGGGAGUAAGAUUUAUCGGAGUUGGAUGAGCCCGCGUUGGAUUAGCUAGUUGGUGGGGUAAUGGCCUACCAAGGCGACGAUCCAUAGCUGGUCUGAGAGGAUGGUCAGCCACACUGGGCCUGAGACACGGCCCAGACUCCUACGGGAGGCAGCAGUGGGGAAUAUUGGACAAUGGGCGAAAGCCUGAUCCAGCCAUGCCGCGUGAGUGAUGAAGGCCCUAGGGUUGUAAAGCUCUUUCACCGGUGAAGAUAAUGACGGUAACCGGAGAAGAAGCCCCGGCUAACUUCGUGCCAGCCGCCGCCGUAACAC